AACGAACGCUGGCGGCAUGCCUAACACAUGCCAGUCGAACGAGACCUUCGGGUCUAGUGGCGCACGGGUUCGUAACGCGUGGGAACCUGCCCUUAGGUUCGGAAUAACUCCCCGAAAGGGGUGCUAAUACCGGAUAAUGUCUUCGGACCAAAGAUUUAUCGCCUUUGGAUGGGCCCGCGUUGGAUUAGCUAGUUGGUAGGGUAAAAGCCUACCAAGGCGACGAUCCAUAGCUGGUCUGAGAGGAUGAUCAGCCACACUGGGACUGAGACACGGCCCAGACUCCUACGGGAGGCAGCAGUGGGGAAUAUUGGAAAAUGGGCGAAAGGCUGAUCCAGCAAUGCCGGGUGAGUGAUGAAGGCCUUAGGGUUGUAAAGCUCUUUUACCCGGGAUGAUAAUGACAGUACCGGGAGAAUAAGCGCCGGCUAACUCCGUG
rnacentral:rRNA from 1 species